AGCCUUCUCCAUACUUUUCUCUUCUCAUCAUUCUGGUACAGGUUGAUCUUAGUUUCAACAGUCCAAAGAAUGCUGUUCCAGAACUGGGCUGGCUUUUUUAGAUGUUGUCCGGCAAACUCUAAUCUGGUUUUUCUAUUCUUGAGGCUUAUGAAUGGUUUGCACCUUGUGGUGAACCCUCUGUAUUUGCUCUUGUGAAGUCUUCUCUUUAUGGUAGACUUGGAUAAUGAUACGCCUACUUCCUUGAAAGUCUUCUUCACUUCACUAGAUGUUGUGAAGGGGUUCUUCUUUACCAUGGAAAGGAUCCUGCGAUCAUCAACCACUGUUGUCUUCCGUGGACGUCCGGGCCUUUUUGUAUUGCUGAGCUCACCGCCUAAGGAUGGCCUGCUUUACUUGCAUUGAGAGCUCCAUUGACUGCAUGUUGUGGAUUCGCAGCAACAGCUUCCAAAUGAAAAUGCCACACCUGAAAUCAACUCCAGACCUUUUAUCUGCCUAAUUGAUGAUGAAAUAAUGAGGGAAUAGUCCACACCUGCUCAUGAAACAGCUUUUGACACAAUUGUCCAAUUACUUUAGGUCCCUUAAAAUAAGGGGACUAUGUAUGAAAAUGUUUGCAAUUCCUAAACCCUUCCUCCAAUUUUGAUGUAAAUACCCUCAAAUUAAAGCUGAAAGUCUGCACUACAA